GCUAGUACAAAAAUUAUUUGAUGACAGUUCUAUUUUGACUAUAAGGGGCCGAUUACAAGGAGCAUUUUCAACCCCGGGGUUGAACUCAGCCCUGUUAACCGGGUUGAAAAUUUUUGCAAUUACAUGGACGAUUUCAACCCAGGGGUUUAAAUGCUAUACGUUCUCGGCAUUGAAUCCCGCAAGUAAAAGCCUCCAUUUUUGGUCAUGAAUAAUUUCAGCCCUGGGUUCAAACGAUUACAUGACAAAAUGUUCAACCCAGGGCCGAGUUAACCCCGGGGGUUGCUGAAGCGGGGUUGAAAUUUCAACCCAGGCUUAAACUCGGUCCUGGGUUGAAAAUUUUGUCAUGUAAUCGCGCGUUUGAUUUUGAUAGGGUUUUGUAUUACAGGCAGGGCUGAAAUUUCAACCCGGUCGACAGGGCUGAGUUCAACCCCGGGGUUUAAAAUGCUCCAUGUAAUCGGCACCUAAGUUGAAACACAAAUGAUGAUUGAACAGUUCAAUACUUUGACAUGGCACAUUUUAACGCCUCCAAAGCUCCAGCCUGAACUCAGAACAACUCAGAACGCGUCAUUUGGAUGCGCAGUCGAAACUCCGAAUUAGCCAUUCCGAAGUUGAUGAGUGGACUGGGGACGAGUGUUAAAAAGUGCCCAAAAUAAGAAAUGAACCAAAUCACUAAAAAGACCACCUCAAAAUUAGUAAGUAUACAAAGUUUGAAGACGUUUACAUCAAUACCCUUCGAAUAAUAAGCUUUCGAAAAUUGUGAAAUUACUGGUUAAAAGAUUGUUUUUGGGACGCGCAUCCCCAAAAACAAAAAUUACAAUACAUUUCAUAGUAAAUAUCACCAUUUUCGAAAGCUUAUUAUUCGAAGGAUAUUCUUGUAAACGUCUUCAAACUUUGUAUAC